UGGCGGCGCGCUUAAACAUGCAAGUCGAGCGAGAAAGUGGAGCAAUCCAUGAGUAAAGCGGCGUACGGGUGAGUAACACGUGGGUAAUCUACCUUUUAGUGGGGAAUAACCCUGGGAAACCGGGGCUAAUACCGCAUAAUCCUGUGAAGGGAAAGCAGCAAUGCGCUGAAAGAGGAGCCCGCGGCCGAUUAGCUAGUUGGUGAGGUAACGGCUCACCAAGGCGGUGAUCGGUAGCCGGCCUGAGAGGGCACACGGCCACACUGGCACUGAAACACGGGCCAGACUCCUACGGGAGGCAGCAGUGGGGAAUCUUGCACAAUGGAGGAAACUCUGAUGCAGCGACGCCGCGUGAGCGAUGAAGCCCCUCGGGGUGUAAAGCUCUUUCGGCAGGGACGAUAAUGANCGGUACUGAAGAAGAAGCUGCGGCUAACUACGUGCCAGCAGCCGCGGUAAUACGUAGGCAGCAAGCGUUGUUCGGAAUUACUGGGCGUA
rnacentral:rRNA from 1 species